GAUGAACGCUGGCGGCGUGCCUAAUACAUGCAAGUCGAGCGAACGGACGAGAAGCUUGCUUCUCUGAUGUUAGCGGCGGACGGGUGAGUAACACGUGGAUAACCUACCUAUAAGACUGGGAUAACUUCGGGAAACCGGAGCUAAUACCGGAUGAUAUUUUGAACCGCAUGGUUCAAAAGUGAAAGACGGUCUUGCUGUCACUUAUAGAUGGAUCCGCGCUGCAUUAGCUAGUUGGUAAGGUAACGGCUUACCAAGGCAACGAUGCAUAGCCGACCUGAGAGGGUGAUCGGCCACACUGGAACUGAGACACGGUCCAGACUCCUACGGGAGGCAGCAGUAGGGAAUCUUCCGCAAUGGGCGAAAGCCUGACGGAGCAACGCCGUGUGAGUGAUGAAGGUCUUCGGAUCGUAAAACUCUGUUAUUAGGGAAGAACAUAUGUGUAAGUAACCGUGCACAUCUUGACGGUACCUAAUCAGAAAGCCACGGCUAACUACGUG
rnacentral:rRNA from 1 species